AUUGAACGCUGGCGGCAUGCUUUACACAUGCAAGUCGAACGGCAGCGCGGGCUUCGGCCUGGCGGCGAGUGGCGAACGGGUGUGUAAUGCAUCGGAACGUGCCCAGUAGUGGGGGAUAGCCCGGCGAAAGCCGGAUUAAUACCGCAUACGACCUGCGGUUGAAAGCGGGGGACCGAAAGGCCUCGCGCUAUUGUAGCGGCCGAUGUCGGAUUAGCUAGUUGGUGGGGUAAAGGCUUACCAAGGCGACGAUCCGUAGCUGGUCUGAGAGGACGACCAGCCACACUGGGACUGAGACACGGCCCAGACGCCUACGGGAGGCAGCAGUGGGGAAUUUUGGACAAUGGGGGCAACCCUGAUCCAGCCAUGCCGCGUGCGGGAAGAAGGCCUUCGGGUUGUAAACCGCUUUUGUUAGGGAAGAAAUCCUCUGGGCUAAUACCCCGGGGGGAUGACGGUACCGGAAGAAUAAGCACCGGCUAACUACGUG
rnacentral:rRNA from 1 species